AAUGAACGCUGGCGGCGUGCCUAAUACAUGCAAGUCGAACGGAGUUAGUAGCAAUACUGGCUCAGUGGCGAACGGGUGAGUAACGCGUUGGUGAUCUGCCUUGAAGUGUGGAAUAACGUUUCGAAAGGAACGCUAAUACCGCAUGUGCUCUCGAUUUUCAGAAAGUUGAGAGUAAAGGAUUUAUUCGCUUCAAGAGGAGCCUGCGUCCCAUCAGCUGGUUGGUAGGGUAACGGCCUACCAAGGCUAUGACGGGUAGGGGACCUGAGAGGGUGGCCCCCCACAAUGGAACUGAAACACGGUCCAUACACCUACGGGUGGCAGCAGUAGGGAAUAUUAGAAAUGGACGAAAGUCUGAUCUAGCAACACCGCGUGUGCGAAGAAGGCCUUCGGGUCGUAAAGCACUUUUUGGAAGGAAUAGGAAGGAAUGUACUUCCAGAAUAAGUCUCGGCUAACUACGU
rnacentral:rRNA from 1 species